CCCAGGUCAGCGGGGCUACCCGCUGAAUUU
rnacentral:rRNA from 1 species